rnacentral:lncRNA from 1 species
UAACUUAUUCAGAAGAAAGAAAACUUUGAAAAAAUAAUAACUGCCAACACUGCAGAUCUUCCUAAUCAGGUGGCCUGAUGUUAGCCUUUUUCAGUAGAGGGUCCUGAAGAGGCACUAGAAGAGGAAGAAGAUUUUCUUCCUAGUUCUGUGUAUCUCUCUCUGCUUCUUCCUCAGGUAGUGUGUAGUAUAUUUUAUAGUACUCACCCCCAGAAAAUUUCAACAGCAUCACCUGAUGGAUGGCUUCCUGGUAAGGUCCCUGGCAUGGCAGAUUCCUAUGGGCAGCUUCCCCCAGAACUUCGUAGCAAAAUCCACCAGUGCAGAGCCUCCCUUAGGGAAGUUUUCCAACAUAUCACCCUUGUGAACAGCUUCCCAGCAGGAAGUACAACACCUCUCUGGAAGGUGGCUUUUCCUAGCAUCACAGAGGGCAGAUUCCUAAGUGUACCACCCUCAUGGACACCUUCCCAGUGAGUUCGAGCUCCACCAGCCUUGCAGCCCAGCAGACUUCUCUGCCAUGUAGUGAUGAAAGCUGCUCCCUCUUCAGAAGUUCUGCAUCUUAGCCCUGCGUUGCUGGGAGGGAAUGAUUGGGGAUAUUCAUAUUCUGAUUCCAUCCUAGGAGUUGAAGUUGUU